rnacentral:rRNA from 1 species
GAUGAACGCUGGCGGCGUGCUUAACACAUGCAAGUCGAACGGAAAGGCUCCUGCUUGCAGGGGUACUCGAGUGGCGAACGGGUGAGUAACACGUGGGUGAUCUGCCCUGCACUUCGGGAUAAGCCUGUGAAACUGGGUCUAAUACCGGAUAGGACCACAUUUUGGAUGGUGUGGUGGAGAGUUUUUCGGUGUGGGAUGAGCUCGCGGCCUAUCAGCUUGUUGGUGGGGUAAUGGCCUACCAAGGCGUCGACGGGUAGCCGGCCUGAGAGGGUGUACGGCCACAUUGGGACUGAGAUACGGACCAGACUCCUACGGGAGGCAGCAGUGGGGAAUAUUGCACAAUGGGCGCAAGCCUGAUGCAGCGACGCCGCGUGGGGGAUGACGGCCUUCGGGUUGUAAACGCCUUUCGCUAGGGACGAAGCGCAAGUGACGGUACCUGGAGAAGAAGCACCGGCUAACUACGUG